AGUUAGCCUUAGUGGAAAUAAUGUCUAUAUUAUUGCUUAUACAGAUCACUUUCCUGUACAACUUCUGACACGCUAGUGUAGGCAUAGCAUUUUUUUUCUAAGUCUUGUGUGAGAAAUUGCUUAGCCCCAGUCUGGUAUGUAAAAGACAAGAUUGACCCUUUGUGAAAAGGUAAAUGCCUGCACUUCCUGAAGUGAUAGGAUUUGAUGUAGCAAGAGUCCCUGCAGAAGUACAGCAAAGUGACGACAUCCUGUAUUCAUUAGGAGAAAAGAUAGGUGAAUUUAGGGGUAAUCUGAAUUGAUGGCAUCACUUUCUUUUAUGCUUAGUUGCAGCAUUAGUGAAUUUUAAAGAAAAAAAGGUGUUGUAGACACGUUUGGGAGCACAUUUCCUGCAGCUGAAGUCUAAGAGCAAUCCUGUAAACAAAGACACCGCUAUUAGAACCACAACUGAAAUAAGGUCAUACCAUUUGCCUUGUGACCAAAAUCCCAGCACAGCACAGACAUUGAGACAUUGGGACUUCUCUUCAUCUUUGUAAGCUUGGUGAUAGCAAGCAAAAUUCUCAACGAGGCCUACUGUGCCAGGGUGUUUUAUGUGUGUUGUGGUGCCCAAGCCAAGGAGACCAAGGAACACAGCUCUUGAGGUUAUGUCUCAGUCAUUUCCUUUUGAAAUGGCAUGUGCCCUGUGCCCCUUAGUGAAUGGCACUGAGUUUAAGCUGACAUUUAAGAAGUGAUAAGCCAACAGACCUUAAAAAAGAAACUUUUUACAAUAGAAAACUUCCUGUUGUUUAUAAAUGUGAAGAAUUAACUCUAUUGAUUAACUCAAAUUUUAGAACAGCCUAAUUAGAACAGCUCCUGAUAAGGAAACAGGGAUUAAUGACUUUAUUGGAAUGCAAAUACAGUGAAAAAGAACUGAACACCAGCUGUGAACUCAAGGUAAAAAGAAAUUCAAUUCGUGAAUUACAAUCAACAUUGCUCAAAAAACUCCUUUGCAACUACAGAGCUGCUUAGCACAGGAAGCGAAGGGAGGCCACAGGAGCUGCUGUUUUCUCCUGUUUAUAUAAUGUUAUUAAUGUCGAUGGCAUUUCUCCAGCAAAUGUUUCACAUAAAUCAUGUUUCAUCCCUAUGAUGAAGUGAUGGCAUAAAGGAAUAUUACAGAUGCCCUGUGAUCUACCUAAAGCUAAAUGCUUGCUUAGGUUUCAAUAGUUUUCCAUUGACAGGAGAGAAAAAGCUGAUUAAAACCAUAAAUUUAUGUUCUCAUGUACAUUUCUCAGAUGGAGGUUAAGAUUUUCAAAUCUCCCUCUCUUCUGCACUUACCCAUUCCAUAUCUCUAUAAUAUCCUUUUUCUAUUCUAAUUUCUUCUAUAUCUUCCCAUGUGUAGAGCUAUUUGACACAUUUAACGCCACCAUUUCCAUCUUCAUGUUGCAUCUGCUGUCUAUCUUGAUACCCUUUCUUUCUUCCUUCCAAAUCUAUUCUAUCUUCUGAGUUGUAUGAUUUCUGGAGCUUUCUGUACCCAUUUAGGACUGUCACAUUUCCAUAUUUAUUUCAGUACAUGAUUUUUAACUCUUGUCUAAUCCAGUGUUUCUGGACUUACAGACCUUAUGUUUUGUUUCUUUGUUUUCAAGAAGGACACAUUUCCAAUGAUAUUAUUGGAACAAAUCAGGACAGACCUACCUAGCCCAUUCUUAGAUUGAUAUUCCAGGUCUCAGCUACUGCUGGUAGGUUCCUGUGCUUUGGUUUCUCACAAGGGAGCCUCCCUGCCUGUGGCACACAGAGGCUGCACCUGUGUGUUUCUGAGGGCUCUCACAGAAGAGCUUCAAGACAGAGCAACAGCUAAGUGGCAUCCACCAGAGCCUGCAUAAAACUGCAAGGCUGGGUAGCUCUUAAACUACCAGGAAGGAGCAGUUUGCGUUUCUUUGGCACUUGCUCCAGCUGCACUCCAGCAGUCCGGCGUGGCAGGCCAGAAUCCAUUCACCACGGUGCACUGCUGCGAGCAUGUGUUGUGGAGCGCAGCGUUCCCAGCCCUUCUGGCUGCCAGUGUCAGUAUCAGGCCUGCUGGUCUCCUCACAUGCUUUCAACUAUUUCAUUCCUCCUCACAUCCUGUUUGUUGCCUGCUGUUUUUCUCCUGUUGCAGCUGUUUUUUCCAUUCUUUCCAGUCCACCCAGUUUUGCAGUCCAGCUGUCCCUCCCAGCUGCCAUGGACUCCACCAUCUCCCAAAUUCCACCCUUUCUGCUGCUGCAGGGGCAUCACCCACAGUCUCACUCUCCCUCUGCAGGAAAUAACUAUCAUUCCUGCUGUACUGCACACCAUGGCUAUUGGAGGACAUCAGUUAAAUAACUGAAUUGUCUUGAGACUGAGCACUAUGUAAGGAUUACAGCAUGAUCGUAUUUUUUCUGAGCAAUCAACUUUAUGUAAUGGGAAACUCCAUCCAAAGCUGGAUCCUAGGAAAAAGCUGUGUCAGAGUUUUAAGUACAUGUUACCCUCAUCUAGUGCAGCAUUAUGCAGGAACUUCACACUUCCAUGAAACAAUCCCUCAAAAGGACAAAUUUGGCCCAGGAAUAUUGUGUCUGAAUGGUAAUCUCUCUUGAGAAAUCAGUUUCCUUUUCUGCAUAUUACAAACUCUCUUGGAUUCUGAGAUACACAUUCCUUUUUCUGGGAGAAAAUCCAUGACCCCAGAUAAUUAAUUAGCUUUAACAGUCAACAGGAAAAUGGAACUGCCAUUUAUCUUUCAGCUUGACUUUGUGUACAGGCUCAGGCAAUUAUAUCUCCAUCUUUUAGUUAAUUUUAUCUGCUACAGACUCAGUUAAAUUUGCUUGCAGAUUUCAGUUAUUUCCUGAAAAUCUGCAGGAUAUGAGCAAUUGCUGUUUAUAUAUUAAUCACUGAAAUGUUUUAUCCUGACUUCCUAAGGAAAUAAAGCUUACAUGAGCAAUCCAUAUGUUUGUGUGAAUACUUCUUUAUCUCUUUUUUCACCCUGCCUUGUUUAUAUAGAAUUUACUAAUUUCAACCUAACUGAAAAAGAAAAGUUGUUCUUUUAGAGAUUAAUUGUGCACUUGUUAGAUGCUUGCUUGCUGCUAAUAGUUUUGUAUUUUUUUUCUCUCCUGUUCACUGAGGAGAAGAUUGCAAUAUGAACUUUCCAUGUAUUAGACUCAGGAAAAUCUACUCCAAAUCAAUGAGUAUCCAAACCAUAAGAAAAUCUUCUGCUGAUGAACAUAAGUUAUGCACAAGGAACCAACACCAGCAGUUUUGCUGCUCAUAGAAUUUCCAGGUUCCUUUGCUUGAUUUUCUUGCCAUCCUGAAUGCUGGACCAUGUGACAAUUUAUACAUGUAAUUUUUCCAUGAGGCCAGGAUAUGCUUGUGUCUGGAAUUGACUCAUAUCUACUAGCUUCCACCAAGAAAUGCUGUAAGUUUCUGGUAUGCCAUGAGUGGCACAGAAUAGUGUGGGAUAUGACACCAUCUAUGCCCUGUGCUGCUCAGAAGUUGUGUCCUCUGAGAAUUGAGGUCUACAGAUGGAGCAGGUUAAAAAAAAAUAAAAGAGCUGUCAGUCUUGUGCUCAGAGCACCCAUCUAGGAGAAGACAAUGCAGUUGUAUUACUCUCCACUCAAAUUUGUGCUUUUGCAGCCUCUUUGUCCCUGGAGCAAAUUCACGAAGGUGCAAGUGGCAGCAGGGGAAGGAAGUAACAGAAAUUUGCCAAAAUGAUGACAUUAUGAUUGACUGAAGUAGCACAGCUGACCCAGGAGAGGAUGCACACUUUGAGGGCGGGCAUGAAUCUUCACUGCCUCUGGGCUUACACAGUCAGAUACAAGAGGAUAACUCAGGAAUCACCUCCUUCAUGGUUUCAAGAGCUGUGCAAAGACUGAGGAACUCGAGAACCUGGAGUUCAGACUCAGCUGAGUUGCAGGACAGGACAGUCCUUGUCACAGAAGGCAAAUACCCUAACUUCUUACCAGAAAGAGAAGAGGUACUGCAAUUUAGCAUAAGAAUGAAUCUACCUCUUUGGUUCGAUAAUGUAAGGUAAUACUUGGGGCAAAAAAAGGAGAACAACCGAGUUCCUUGAAAUUUUAUUACCAUAUGUAUUCAAGAUGGUAAUAACAUUGUAGCUGUACACUCUCAGAGAUACAGGCAAGUGCUCUUUCUGGGAAAGAUAACUUAGGUGAUAAUUAUUUUGUGCAGAUGUAUACAGUUGUUGAAAAUACCACUUGGAGAGCACAAGUUCCUCUCCAACUGUCCUACUCUUGUCUGAUUUUUUUAAAACUUUCACCUGAUCUAAAUGUACCUAUUUUAUAUAUCCUUGGUCAAAUUUGAAUUACACUUAGAAGUAUAGCUUUAGGUUGUUAUGGUUUAUUAUUUCUGUUCUGAAAUGCAAAUUCUUUGUCCCACACAUGGUGAACCCUGUCAUGUUAGUUCCUACAGAAAUAAAGAAUAAAAGGUGAUGACAGGCUAAGUUAAUACCUAAUUUGUUCUUCAUCUCAUGCACUGGGGGAGUAACCUUACCAUAUUUUUAGAUGAGUCCUAAAGGUUUGCAAUCAGCACAUAUUGUAAUGAUGUAACAAAUUGCCUCAUUUUUGCAUAUAUGCCAAAAUCCCUAAUGUAAACGUGCACAAGGUUAUUUGAAAAUGCACCGUGAAAGCAGAAGAGGCAGUAAGUGUCAUGGCAGUUCAUUUUAGAAGGAUUGCUCUUGUUUCAAGUUUUCAAACGUCUCCAUUAUUCUGAUGUAUUUCUUUCCAAAAGAGAAAUCUAAGUCUUAAGCCUUAAAUAUUUUUUAGUGCACAUGGAGAGUUUUCCUCUCUAUGUGUCAGUAUUGUAUUUCAACAAAAUAUGAAGAGAAUUACACAGUCACGGCCACUUUGGUCUUCACUGGCAUAAUAAUAGUUGCAAUGAACAGCCUACUUUCAGGGCAGCAAGUGACAGGAAUGCCACAGCUUUUCUAAAAUGAGGAAGAUCUUACUAACAAAAGAGUUAAUUUUCAUGAAGAAGUUCUAACUGAGAAAUUUUUCACCUCUCAUUUUAAUGCAUGUUGUUCCAGAACUGUCUGGUCUUUUAUAUUUGCAUAUUUUAUAUCUAUCAAAUUUUGCUUGUAUCCCAGAAGUUAUAAGAAAUAAGGGCUUUACCAGUAAAGAGAGCUACUUUGCAGGAGGCCACAAGUUGAUUUUACAGAAACUCAAAGCUAACAUGGCAAGAGACCAUAUUUUUUAAAGGGAAGAACUCCUUAUUGAUAACUACCUGUCAAUAAUUUAUAAGGGAAGUACUAAAAUCACUGCAUUUUUUAUAUCAAUUCAAUUUGAAAAUACAGAGUUACUAUUUUUUUCUUUUAAUAAAAGUCCUAUAUUUUACUUAGUUACAACCUCAGAUCUUGGCUCUUCUAUAUGUCUGUGCCCUUAAAUAUUAAUGCAAAACACUUGGGAAUGCAGUUGUUUGGGAAUUCUUCAAUGAAACAAUUUUUUAGCUGGAAAAUACUCAGUAUAAACCAACAUCCUUGCAAGAACCUAAGUCCUUCAACAGGGCUUUUACUGAAAUGCAAUACUCUUGAGAGUGAGAGGUGUAAUAGGUGCCUUGUGGUCAUGAAACUCCUGGGAGCUAAGCAACAAACUCACAAGUGUCUUCUGUCUCAUUUAAGUGUUGGCCCUGAGAUUUUUUUUUCUUGAUCUGCCUUGUGUGAGGGAAACCACUGUGGAGCUAGUGCAAUAUUUGUCUGCUUGUGAUGCUGGGUCCUGAGCUUCACAGCUUUGUUGCAGGGAAUUUGAACAAAAUACACAAAUACAGAAAGUCGCAAUCCAUUUGUAGAAAAACCUCUGUAGGGUUGAUUUCCUGGUGUCUGGAGCAUAUUUCUGGGACAGGAAGAAAUGGCAGACCUGCAGACUGAAUCUGCUUUUCACAUACCAGGUAAAUUGCUCUUAUUGUCAGGCUAUUACCUGUGCAUUCAUUAAACUGAAAGUGUUUAGUGGCGUUUAAUAAAGACAAGGAACAUUUAAGAAACCUUAACAAGUUUUACAGGAUAAAAAAGCCUAAUUUCCUAGUCUAACCUGAUAUUGAGCAUCUUUCAUCGAUAGGGAACAGGUUUAAAUAAAAAAUGUUACAAAUAAUUAAAAACUUAUUUCAGUUUGACUGUUAUUAUAUUUAUAUUCUGAUACAAUUAACAUUAAAAAUUACUUUUGUUAGCAGUGAAAUCUGGUACUCCAUGAUUGACAAUGUUCUCUACACAGAAAGGGAGAAUCUUUCUUGAAAAAAUUGACAGAAACUGCGAAGAACUUCAUAUAUUUUCCAAGACAAUGUUUUAACAAUUUUUGAUAAAAACCCAGUGGGUCCUAGAUUAUAUGCCUAAGGUGUAAUUUUAAAACUAUCAGGUGACACAAUGCUGUAAUUCAAUAACAACUGUUAUUAACAUAGCAAGAGAAAAAUGUUUGGUGAAGAGAGAAACAGGCCUCUUUUUUUUUUUUUUUUUUUUUUUUUUUUUUUUUUUUUUUUUUUUUAAUUGUGUAUGUCAACCUUUUUUUGCUGCACUUAUGUCUGGGCUGUUUUUCCAUUUUGAGGCUAAAUGCAAAUUCAGAUUAUAAAUGCCUUCUUCUAAAGAAUACUUACUGGAUAAAGAAAAGCCUAAACCAGUAUGUAUUAGCAGUUAUUUUCUUUUGUAAGCAGGAUCAACACAAACAGUGCUUCCAGACAAUGAUGAUUAAUGGUUCAAAACUAUAGAUCUGCAUUAUGUAAUGCAUCUCAUAUUCUUGAAAUGAGGAUUGUAAUUUGUCAUUGUUCUCUGGAGCUAAAAUUACAACAGGUAAUUUGCAAGAAUAGAUUGUAGUGUUUUAUAAUUGCUUUUUAAAAUUCAUAUGGUCUUAUAUCUGAAUAAAUAUUACAUCUCAGAGCAAUGCAUUAAUUUUCUGUGUAGUGACGUGCAAUGGCUAGAUAAUCAAUUAUACCUUUUGUUGAUCUAAAAUUACCUCUAUCAGAUUUAUCAUAUGGUGUGGUACCCUGUAAGUAGUACCAAAAUACAAGCACACUCCUCUCACCAAGAAGUACUCAUUUUCUACUUUCAUUUCCUUAUCUGUACUGAACCAUGUGACUGGCAGGGUUCACAGCUAACCCUUCAAGUUAGAGCACAUUCUGACUGCUCAUGGGAAUUACUUUCUUGUCAGCAUGCCCUUACAGGGGCUGGUUUCUCAUGGGCCCUCCCUGCCACCUCUCCUUGCCACUGCUGCGUGCCCUUCUUUCAAGCAAUGGCCUUGGCUCAUACCAGAUACAUGGGUCAUUGUAGGCUGUGGAGUUGAUUAAAAGGUGCAUGAUAAUUCAUUCUCAAAGAAUUUCUCUCUGAACCACCCUGUACUCAAUUACAGAAUUUAAAAAAAGAAAAAUAAAAAAAAGAGAUAAA